rnacentral:rRNA from 1 species
GACGAACGGUGCGAACGUUGUUCGGAAUCACUGGGCUUAAAGGGCGCGUAGGCGGGCUCGCAAGUCAGGGGUGAAAUCCCACGGCUCAACCGUGGAAGUGCCUUUGAUACUGCGGGCCUUGAGGGAGGUAGGGGCGUGCGGAACUUCCGGUGGAGCGGUGAAAUGCGUAGAUAUCGGGAGGAACAUCAGUGGCGAAGGCGGCUACCUGGCCCAAUACUGACACUCAGGUGCGACAGCGUGGGGAGCAAACAGG